rnacentral:rRNA from 1 species
CAGGCCUAACACAUGCAAGUCGAACGGUAGCACAGAGAGCUUGCUCUCGGGUGACGAGUGGCGGACGGGUGAGUAAUGUCUGGGAAACUGCCUGAUGGAGGGGGAUAACUACUGGAAACGGUGGCUAAUACCGCAUAACGUCGCAAGACCAAAGAGGGGGACCUUCGGGCCUCUUGCCAUCAGAUGUGCCCAGAUGGGAUUAGCUUGUUGGUGAGGUAACGGCUCACCAAGGCGACGAUCCCUAGCUGGUCUGAGAGGAUGACCAGCCACACUGGAACUGAGACACGGUCCAGACUCCUACGGGAGGCAGCAGUGGGGAAUAUUGCACAAUGGGCGCAAGCCUGAUGCAGCCAUGCCGCGUGUAUGAAGAAGGCCUUCGGGUUGUAAAGUACUUUCAGCGGGGAGGAAGGUGUUGUGGUUAAUAACCGCAGCAAUUGACGUUACCCGCAGAAGAAGCACCGGCUAACUCCGUGCCAGCAGCCGCGGUAAUACGGAGGGUGCAAGCGUUAAUCGGAAUUACUGGGCGUAAAGCGCACGCAGGCGGUCUGUCAAGUCGGAUGUGAAAUCCCCGGGCUCAACCUGGGAACUGCAUUCGAAACUGGCAGGCUUGAGUCUUGUAGAGGGGGGUAGAAUUCCAGGUGUAGCGGUGAAAUGCGUAGAGAUCUGGAGGAAUACCGGUGGCGAAGGCGGCCCCCUGGACAAAGACUGACGCUCAGGUGCGAAAGCGUGGGGAGCAAACAGGAUUAGAUACCCUGGUAGUCCACGCCGUAAACGAUGUCUACUUGGAGGUUGUGCCCUUGAGGCGUGGCUUCCGGAGCUAACGCGUUAAGUAGACCGCCUGGGGAGUACGGCCGCAAGGUUAAAACUCAAAUGAAUUGACGGGGGCCCGCACAAGCGGUGGAGCAUGUGGUUUAAUUCGAUGCAACGCGAAGAACCUUACCUGGUCUUGACAUCCACAGAAGAAUCCAGAGAUGGAUUUGUGCCUUCGGGAACUGUGAGACAGGUGCUGCAUGGCUGUCGUCAGCUCGUGUUGUGAAAUGUUGGGUUAAGUCCCGCAACGAGCGCAACCC